UUCCACACCUAAAGAUUGUUUUUAAUUCUUUGUUUUAGUUGCAAGAAAUGCAGGAUCAAUGCACAGAGACUCCAAGAUGUGCUGAGGAGAUGUCAGACCACGUGCAAAAGCUUAAAAUAGAAAAUGCCAUGUUAAAAAUUAGAAUGAAAAAGCGAGUGGACAAAAUUGAGCAGCUUCAGAAAAUUUUGAUGCAGCAGGUGUACAAGGAAACAUAACUGCAGAAGUAGAUGAAGAGUUACUGCACAUUUCUGUGUCAUCUACAUGCCAUGAAAGUCUUAAAAUCAAUUGUCAAUUUCUACAAAAUACCUGCUUGGAUUUGAACUGUGAUUGCAUUAUGUCAUGAGAAAGAAUGAACAUCUUAACUAUGAUGAGUCUCUCAACCUGUGAAUAAGACUUCAGUCAUAGACUUCUCAGCUGCCUUGAGGGAUUGGAUGAGCCUUGGCCAACUCUUGAAGGAAACAAUAAAAUCACUUUAAUAUGCUACUUUUCAUUUUGAAGUCAUUACAGUAUCAUUUGCAAAACUCAACAAGGAAAGAUGCCUGUGGAUGGCCGUGUUCUGGGAGUCACUGAGAUGAGCCUCUCAGGAUUUUCCAGCUCAUGAGGGCAGAGGAGAUGAAGAGAGGCCGAUUGAUGUGAGGGUCGUGCAGGUGGCGCCUCUGAGGUGUGACUCCAAUAAGUACUCUGGAAUUACUUGCUGAGAAAGAAAAGUCUGGAUGCCAAGAAAGGUGUGACAUCCUUGCUGGCUUCAAUGUGAAGAGCCACCCUGAUUCUGGGAUUCUGAUAGGAAUAAGGAUAGUGGACUUUUUUUUUUAAGUUCUCCAGGCAAAAAUUAUGACCAAAUGUCUCCAUCUGAUGAAGCAGCUGCACUCCUAUGGGGGCACUGGGCUGUGUGCUUGCCUGGUGUCUUAUGAGUCUGCAUUGUGUGACGUGAUUGUGUGUGUUUUAGUAUAGGGGAGGCUGUGUGUUUUCUCAGGAGAGAUUUUCCAUUUACACAGCACAAUUGCCAGUCUCCACUUCUAAAAAGUAAAAUCCACCCCUGUUCUACUCUAUACAUGACUCAUUCACCCGUGCCAGAGCCACCUUUUAUUACCCUCACUGCUCAGGUGGAGAAUCUGAAGGGCCAGUGGGAAUGGCCCCAGCUUUUGAGCUCCUGAAUGAAAAAGUCAAAACAUUAGCUCAGGUGUGUGGCCCAAUGCUGACACUGUCACCUGCUGGACAUGCACUUAUGCCUCAGUCACAGGGUGUUCAUUACCAUGCAGGGAGUCCAGCAUUCAUGUACAAGCCCUAAAGCACUGAGCCUGAGAGGUCCCAGACUCUGCCCAUCACCAUGAAGUGACCUCCAUGGUCACAUAACCCAGAGCAGUUACAGGCACAUCUUCCUACAGACGAGCAUUGUCAUCAGUGUCAAAAUCACAAAGAUUCCCGGAUGUUUUGGGUCAGCUCACAGGUUCUAAGACGUGGGGGACCAUGUAGAACAGUUCUGACAAUUCUGAAGGUAUUUUGCUCAGCAGCUGGCCAAAGCUUAUAAGGAAUAAUGAUAUAUUUCAGUAGAUUUAGUAAUGUUCACAAGCCCUAAAGUGCUCAAAUCCUGCCGGCUAAAAAUGGUGAAGAGAGACAGAUAAGAACACUGCACCACUCAGUGUGGUUUCCGUUGCCUCGUGGCAACUCUUGUAUAUCUGGAUUAAGGACCCUCAGCCUCAACCUAGCCUUUCCUCCAUGAGGAACCAUCUCACCGUUGACUGACUAGUGUAGCCUGCGUGGCCUUUAGCCUACGUGAAAUAAAGUUUUGCUUUAAAACAAAUGUAAAUCUCAUACAGCAGAUAAGUGCAGUAGCAGCAUGAUCUUGCAAGUUGUAAAGAAGACAGCGGCGAUGUAGCUGGACUUGAAGCCAGACAGGAGGAAUGAGGGAACUCUGUCACUGAAUUACAGCACGCAGAGUUGAAGACCAUUUAUAGACAAUUUCGUGUUACAGUAGGUAGCCUUUAGCUAGUAAGCAAAGGUCUCUAUUUCUCAGUUCUUUCCUGUUCAUCUUCAUUGUUGUCCUUCCAAAAGGGCAAACAGCCCAAGCAGAAGGCAAUUUUAGUAUUAAUCUAACUAAGGUUUUGUGUAGUUUACUAUCAUCCAGGUAAGCAAAUACAACUGCCUGCCUGCAUGCCUGCCUGUCCCCAACCCCUGCUCUGUGUUUUCAUUUAAUAAAUAUUUUGGUGUUCUACUUACCAUGUGCUAGAUUUUCUGAAAACCACAAAGAAAAUGAGAUAGAGUCUUUAUAUUGACAGAUGAUAAGUUAGAUUUAACAUAACUGACAAAAAUUAAAAAUUGCAACUUUUAUAAAAAUAUAUAUGUCUGAAUACAUACUGAAUGUAAGGUAGUUAACAAAAAUAAUUACACUUGCACUCAUGGGCAGUUUCUUAUGAACUUGUCAAUUUCUAUUUUUUCUGCUUCCUCAUUUCAGUAGAUGAUGCAUAUCUGAACCUGGAAACGGCUUCCCGCUGUAGAGCGUGUUCUGAGUCACUUCCCUUAGCUUCCCCAGAGCAGGUCCAGCAGGCUCUGAGCUUGGCCUCUUUGCCUGAAACAAGACCUCUAGGUAAUGUCUCCAGGGAGGGUGGCACAAAGGAUCCUGGAUCUCCUGAUCACAGCAGCCCAAGAGUGCUGUGCGUGCACCAUGGCUCAAGAAGAUUUAAAAAGGGAAAAGUAUGACUAUUUCUAAUCUGUAGUAUUUCAGUAUUUUUAAUGUUUCGGUUAUCCAUAUGAAAAAGAAUUUGUGAUAAAUAGAAUAAUUUGCCUACAAUUGAAUAUUUCACCAAUAAAAUUGGCUUUUAAUCAAGUGAUAAAUCCUGUAAAAUAGAUAAUAGAUGCAGUACCAACAUAAUUUGAUUCUAGUACACUGAGAUGAUCUUGAAUACGUUAAGAAAGUGUUGUUUGUGUAGAAGAGUUUCAAAUCACGUGAGUGAUGAAGAGACCCUUCUGUUGAACCUUGGUGUGCAUUUUAGGUCCAUUUUGGGUUUGCUCCUUUGUGCUGCUUCAUGAUGCCUUCGGAUAAGGCCAAGGCCUAGGCCUCCUUGUCUCAGUUCCCUCCUGCUCUCUCUGUUGCCCUCCUCCUUCCACCCGGAGCAUGGCCCAGCAUCAGGUUGGUGCAUGCUGUGAUCAGCCACCUCCAUGCACCACACCAAGCAGAGCUCUCUGGGUGACACAGUUGCCGCCACCAGGGCACUGACCUUUACUCUGUGUUCUCCUAGUUCCUCCUGAGGGUGCUGUAGGAGACAUCUGCAAAAAAGAAGAUGCUGGCAAUAUGCCAUCAACCUCAGAGGGGAGUAUUUACCUUGAAAUAACUCACUUCCUGAGGAACAAACUUGCUGGAUCUAAUGUACAGAAACCUGAUUCUGGGUUCCUUUGGGAAGGAGCAUUUUGGGCCUGCUCCUGGACCACCUCAUAUCACCAGCACCCUCUACCCAAGGUCCUGGAGCCAACACUGGAGUAAAAGAGCACAGGAGAGCUCCUUAGAGGUGGAAGGGUAUUGUACAGCACUGCCUAUGAGGCAUGGAGGAGUCUCACAUGAAGGCCGCCUGCAUCCUGGGGGAGUUCCUGAAGCUGCUGCCCAUGUUUCUCACAGGGAGGCCAGGGAAGAUCAGCCCCAUUGUGUACACAGGCAAGCCGUGAACUGAGGACUUCCCUUUCAGGGUGUGAAUUCUGAGGAAUGUUUCUAAGGUGUAGAGAAACAUGAAAAACUAGAAAUCCAUUACGUCUGGAGGCAAAAACAGAAGACCAGAGGGACAGAAGAGCUUGUGCAGCAGUCAGAGGCAGGGAUAUUUGGUGUGUUUGCUCCUCUGCUCACCUCGCUCUUCAACCUCCCUGCUGGAUUUUUGGAGUCAUUUGGGUCUGGGUGUCCCAUUUUGGUGAGUGGCUUGGACUGGAGGAAGUCCAUAGAGUAUGGCAGAGGGUACUGGAGGCUGAAGUAGAAUGAGGUAAAUGGGAAUUGGAUAAGAUGCACUGGCUGCAUUUGGUGACAUUUCUGCCUGACUAGGUAUUCGAAUAUGUACUGCCACUUCUUGGUCCCCCGAGACAGCUGGAGAACUGAAUUGACUUUCACUGCUCUGUAAUCAGAUUGUUUGUAGUAGUUUAAUUUACUCGUCAGGUGACAAUAAUUAUUGAAAAUAUUCCUAAAAUGAACUUUCUGCCAUUAUUAUGAAUAGUUAAGAAAAUUGAAGCUUUCUUGGGAGAUCAACAAAAUGCUGACUUGGUUUCUAUGUAUGCCUCAUGGGUCAUAGAUCCCAGCCACUAGCCUGUGCUUGCACCCUCUGCUGGCCCCAGGACUAGGAGGUCAGGGUAGCCUCUCUGAUGAGCCUCUGACCUCCAGCCUCAGUAGUGGCAGCACCCCUUCUCCAUGGACUUCCACACUAAGGUCCAGAAGCAGGUGUCAGAGAGAGAGAAAGAGACCGAGCUCCUCCUCAUAGGGGGUUGCCGAGGGCCCCCUGGGCUCUGCCUAGAAUGCUGUUGGAGAAGUGCGGAUGGAGAAGUGGAUUAGAGGCUCCAGUGGUUGGUUCCAGUGAAACUAAUCACAGAGUGCUAGAGUGCUACAGACAGCAGAAGACAUUUAGGUUAAUUUUAUCUCUUUCCACACGUAAAAACUAAGGCCCUAUUUUUAAAUGAAAUUGUUUUUCUUCCUUUUAAGUGUCUCUAAUUGUACCUGACUUUUGCUGACACUCCCGAUGUUCAACCACAUAUUCACAAAAUUUCUUUCAUGUUUUUCAUGAGGAAUGCAAUUCUCACCUGCUCUGACAGGUGAAUGCACCAUCCAGAUGUCCCUAUAUACAUCACAUGAAGGAGAUAACAGAUGAGUCAUCCACACACUAACACAGAUGAGUUUAUCAAAUGCAGCCGUUAAGGAUGGGCCCAUGUUACCAAGGAACAGAGUGGGGGAAGGUGCUCAUUCCAAGAGUCUGCUGCAAGAGUUCAGUCAACCCAGGACACCUAGAGCCAUCUGGGCCUGAAGCCAGGGGCUGGCAAGUGACAGAAUGGACCACAGAGUCUUCUCUUUCUCCUUCCACAUUUUCAAUAGACCAUAUGCUGUCAUAGUAUUUUGUGAAACAUUUAAAAAUCUAAAGUACAACAUACACACAGAAAACACAUGAAACCUAAAUAUACAGCUCUGUAAUUUAUCACAAAAUGAGCAUCCAUGUAACUACAAGUCAGGUCAAAAAAUAGAAGUUACCUGCAUCCCAAAACUGUCCUUGUAUCUCCUCCUUUCCAAAGCUAGCCACUACAACCUUGUGUGCUAGAGUUAGAAGUUACCUGCACCCCCAAAACUGUCCUUAUAUCUCGCCCUUUCCAAAGCUAGCCACUACAACUUUGUGUGCCAGAGUUCGCUCUCUUUUAGUUUGCGCUUAUUAUAAAUAGAAUAACUCAGGAUGUGUGUUCCUUGAUUUCCAGAGGCUUUUGCUCAUAAUAAGUUUGAAACAUUCAGCCCUGUGGCCGUGUGUAGCUGUAGUUCAUUCAUUGUCUUGCUACACAGCAUUCCACUGUCAUUCUAUGUUACCUUUAUCCACUCUGCUGUUGAUGGGCAUUUGGCUUGAGCAUCUCUAUUUACCUGGUGCACAUGGACAUGCAUUGCUGUCACAUAUAUUGCUAGGAGAGUAUAUAUCUUUUACUUUGAGUUCUUUAAAGAUUGAAUAAAUUGGGUGGAAAGGAAUGUUGGAAAAUAUUCUAACAGAAAACCAAUUGGAUUUUGGCUCUUUUAAAAAUGGUCAUAUUGAUAAAGUGGCAUUUUAGCUAAGUGUGGUAAAAAUGAUAUGGUUUGGAUGUACCAUUUUUCUUUUUGUUGUUCCAAUCUGUGGAGUAUAUUGGUUUAAAUAAUGAAAACAUGUUCUAUCAUCCCAGCUUCACACUUGCUGUUUCUUUAACAGCCUUCCCAACGGGGCAGGGUGGAAGUAGGAGCCCCACUAGUCUCCCCUUAAACUGGAAUCCCCCACUAUCCACAGAUCGCUCAUUGCAGGGGACACACUGGGCACCCAGGCCUCAAGGUAAGGACACGCUCCAUCACCUAGAGGUGCAGUGCCUGGGAAGACCAACCUUGGAGGGGCACUGCCAGCUUUACAGGGACAGAGGUGUCGGGAGGGACUGACCACUGAUUGGUAAGGCUGUGCUUUGUCGGUGAUGUGAUUGUUUCACAGGUAAUUGGGGAGGGACAGUCCCAAGGCCUCACCUGGCCCUGGUCCUGGCUCUGCACAAGGGCAAUAAGAGAGGGAUGGUGCUAAGAAGGAUGACAUGCUGCUGUGGAAGAUGCUGGACUGAAAUUCAGGAGGCCAAAGAUGCAGUGGUCUCAUAGGAGUGGCUGGAAGUUGCAGAGGUUUCAGAAGCUCACCCAAGAUGCUGGAGCCCCCAUCUCCAGCCCUAAUGCUGUCCACCUUUUCACCCAG